GCUGGUGAAGCGCUCGGAUUGGUCGCGGGCCUGCGGGUCUCCCGCAGCCCGCGACCGAGAAGUUCGUUGAACCCUCCCACCUAGAGGAAGGAGAAGUCGUAACAAGGUUUCCGUAGGUGAACCUGCGGAAGGAUCAUUG
rnacentral:rRNA from 1 species